UACGGAGGGUGCAAGCGUUGUUCGGAAUUACUGGGCGUAAAGCGCGUGUAGGCGGAUUCGGUAGUCGGGUGUGAAAGCCCUGGGCUCAACCCAGGAAGUGCGCCCGAAACCACGAGUCUUGAGAUCCGGAGAGGAUCGGGGAAUUCCUGGUGUAGAGGUGAAAUUCGUAGAUAUCAGGAAGAACACCGGUGGCGAAGGCGCCGAUCUGGACGGAUUCUGACGCUGAGACGCGAAAGCGUGGGGAGCAAACAGGAUUAGAUACCCCCGUA
rnacentral:rRNA from 1 species